UACGUAGGGUGCAAGCGUUAAUCGGAAUUACUGGGCGUAAAGCGUGCGCAGGCGGCUUUGCAAGACAGAUGUGAAAUCCCCGGGCUUAACCUGGGAACUGCAUCUGUGACUGCAUGGCUAGAGUGCGGCAGAGGGGGAUGGAAUUCCGCGUGUAGCAGUGAAAUGCGUAGAUAUGCGGAGGAACACCGAUGGCGAAGGCAAUCCCCUGGGCCUGCACUGACGCUCAUGCACGAAAGCGUGGGGAGCAAACAGG
rnacentral:rRNA from 1 species